AGUCCAGAAGAAAGGCAGCAGUUGAAAGAAGAAGUUGAAGACGCUCUGCAUAUUGAUACGGAUGCUCUUGCAGCAGAAAUUGAGUCUUCUAAAAGAGAUAAUGACAUGAAAAGCGAAAAAUGAAUAAAAUAUCUGUCACGUAGAAAAUAAUAAUUUAGAAGACAUUUUGUUAUUAAGCCUUUUUUAAAUAAAAAUAUAAAAUAA
rnacentral:misc_RNA from 1 species